UCGAUUGGAUUUUAUUUUGUUUUCUUCUGAUCGUAAAAUCUACUGUUUAUUAAUGUAUAAUGAAAACUUAAAAAAUUGAAAGUAUGUUAAUCAAUUUUUUAAUAAAUGGGCCCUACUUGGCCUAAUUCUGCAUUUUGUAUUUUGCACAUGUUUGAUGGGCAUUUCUUCAAUUUUUAUCAAGGUCUAAUAAAAUCUAAUUUAAAUCUCCAAUAAUCAAACAAGCUAAUCCGGUGACUUGUUCUGAUCGGAUCUAUAAACUAUGAGCUUAUAUAUGACUGGGUCGAUCCCAGCGUAUGGGCUUGAACCUAUCCGUUUAGAGUUAUGUAUUGCAAAAUAUUUGAGUCAAACUUGGUAUGAACCAUGCUAGACGAACCGCGCGGUUGACAUAAUACACACAUAGGAGGGGGAAAAUAUUUUUUUACUCACGCGAGACCCACGCCUUGGUUGUGAGUGUGCGGUCAUCCAUGGGGUCACCGUUGCGGGUCGUUUAGCAUUUUUCAACUUGGUAUUGCUGAACAAUUGCUAAAGAGAAUCAUCUUCAAUGUUUUCUCAAUCAGGAUCUAUAGUCCAUUGAUUCUCCCAGCGGAGGACAAAACUGCUUCAACAUUUUAAUUGGAUGUUGAAUGGAAAGCUGGGUCGGUGUCAAAUGCCGGUGGGUGCUUCUUAAUUUGAGGUUUAUGUUAGGGAGAAAACGCGUGGGUCGACUUUGGCUAACAAGUAAUGAAAUUGAGAAAAUACAGCUAAAAAUGGACACAAGUAUUUACGUGGUUCACCCAAUUUUGGCUACGUCCACGGGCAAGUAUAGGAGGAUUUUACUGUAAUAGGAGAAUUACAACAACUCUCUAAAUACAAGGAGAUAACAACAAUUAAUCUCUCUUGUAAUAGAAAAACCAAGUAGGAAAUACUUUAGGAAGAAACAAUAAUUUUUCUCUCUAUUUUUAUCUCUCUACUCACAAUUUUCUCUCCACUUAAUCUUUUCUUUUCUCUCUAUUUUUUCCUCUCUUUUCUGGCUUAUUUCACUUGGCAUGGUGGUUCUCUAUUUAUAGAGAAAAUUUGGCUGCAACCGUCUCAAACUGUUUGGCCCAAAAACUCCCAACAAGGUGGUGAUGCAAGAGGAUGGUAGGUUGCAUGUUGGAGAUUUGUUGGGCAAUUAAUAGCCAUGCAUGUGGGAGUCUUAAUCCCGAAGAAAGCGGCUGAAAAUUCCACCACCUGUUGUAUUAAAUGCUUGCAGGAAAAUGUCAUUUUUUUAGUCAACAUUAGUGGCUUUAAUUUUCAACAUUUCUCCCACUUAAAGUCACUUUUGUUGACUACUUCAAUCCUUCCCAUACUUGCCAUUUCCAUGCCAUUACGUUUUUGCUAGGCCGAUAGAGGAUCGACACCAUAUGAACUUAUCAGUACAGAUUGGCUUUGUCAACAUAUCUGCUAGAUUGUCCAUUGUAUGGAUUUUCUGUAUAUCCACACUUCCUUCUUCCAACUUUUCUUGAACAAAGUGAUACUGGACUCGAAUAUGUUUUGUCCUCUGAUGAAAUGCUGGAUCCUUUGCCAAAUGCAAAGCGCUCUGACUAUCACAAAAUAGAGCAAUCUUCUCUUGUUUGUGUUCGAGUUCCUCCAUUAACAUUUGUAACCAGAUUGCCUCUUUGCUGGCUUGUGUAGUUGCCACGUAUUCUGCCUCCGUUGUAGAAGUAGCCACGAUAGAUUGUAGUUUCGAAACUCAGCUUACAGCUCCUCCAGCAAGAGUAAACACAUAUCCUAUGGUGGACUUGCUUUUGUCAAGAUCACCUGCAUAAUCUGAAUCAACAUAGCCUUUGACAACAAAAUCUGAUCCUCCAUAACAUAAUGUAGCAUUUGAGGUACCUUUGACAUAUCUCAGGAUCCUCUUUACAGUACUCCAAUGCUCUUUACCAGGAUUUGCCAUGUAUCGACUAACCACUCCCAUUGCUUGUGCAAUGUCUGGUCUUGUACAGAUCAUAGCAAACAUCAGGCUACCCACUGCUGAUGCAUACGGUACUCGAGACAUCUCCACUUUCUCUGCUUCAUUGCUAGGACUCAUACUUGAGGAUAACUUGAAAUUAAUAGGAAGAGGGGUAGAGAUUGGCUUACAAUCUUGCAUAUUGAAGCGACGCAAGAUUUUCUUCAAGUAGUUCUUCUGAUUAAGCCAAAUCUUCCUAUUAUUUCUGUCUCGGUAAAUUUGCAUCCCUAGAAUCUUGUUUGUUGGUCCCAAGUCCUUCAUUUCAAACUCCCUAGCCAACUGUGCCUUCAAAUUUUCAAUACGAUCUUUGUUGGGGCCUGCUACCAACAUGUCAUCAACAUACAACAACGGAAUAAUGAAAUCAUUAUCACCAAAUCUCAUGUAAUAUGCACACGGAUCUGAACUAAGUCUGUUGUAUCUAAGGCUCAUGAUAAAUGAAUCAAAUCUCUUAUACCAACACCUUGGCGCCUGUUUGAGACCGUAUAGAGAUUUGUUCAACCUGCAAACCAAGUUCUCUUUUCCUUUUUCUUCAAAACCUUCUGGUUGGAGCAUAUAAAUCUCUUCUUCAAGUUCUCCAUGAAGAAAUGCAGUUUUCACAUCUAACUGCUCUAGGUGUAGGUCAAAUGUAGCACACAUCCCCAAGACUACUCGAAUUGUUGUAAGUCGAACCACAUAAGAAAAUAUUUCAUUGAAAUCUAUACCUUCUUUCUGAGCAUACCCCUUCACCACCAGUCUUGCACGAUACCGCUCCACUUGGUCAUUGCCAUCUCGUUUUAUCUUAUAGACCCAUUUAUUCCCAAUGGCCUUCCUUCCAUGUGGUAGUGGAACAAGAUUCCAUGUCUUGUUCUUAUGAAGAGAUUCAAUUUCUUCUUGCAUUGCAGCCAUUCACAGAGAAACUUCUAGGCUAUUUAUAGCCUCAUGGAAAGUUGAUGGCUCUCCAUCUUCUGUCAGUAAGCAGUAUGCAACAUUGCCCUCCAUAAUGUAUUCUGAGUGCCAAGCCGGUUCUCUUCUCUCCCGAGUUGAUCGUCGAACAUCUGGAGUACUAGAUUCAGCUUGUUCUUCGUGCUCUAGUGUUGCUUCAGAAGAAUCUAUAUCUUCUCGUUCGUUUCCAACUUCGAUUGUAGUAGUCUCUGGUUUUUCUUUUGAAGUGCUAUCAUUUCCUUUUUCCUGUAUUUUGCCUUCCGCAAAUAUGACAUCUCUGCUGAUUAUCACCUUGUGGGCAGUGGGAUCCCACAAUCGAUACCCCUUGACUCCAUCAGCAUACCCUAAGAAAAUACAUUUUCUGGAUUUUGGAUCCAGCUUUGAUGUCUCUUGGGUGUUGUACAUAACGUACACAUGACUUCCAAAUAUAUGUAAGCGAGAAUAAUCAGCCGGUUUAUUAGUCCACAUUUCUAUCGGCGUCUUCAAAUCAAUUGCAGUUGAUGGUGACCGAUUGAUCACAUAACAAGCGGUUUUGACUGCUUCUGCCUAAAAUGACUUGGGUAAAUUUGCAGUUCUCAACAUUGCUCUUGUUCUUUCUAACAAUGUUCUGUUCAUCCGCUCUGCCACUCCAUUUUGCUGUGGAGUGUAUGCCACCGUGAACUGCCUCUUGAUACCUUCUUGUUGACAGAAGUUAUCAAAUUCAUCACCAGUAUAUUCUCCUCCAUUGUCAGUCCUCAGACACUUGAUCUUCUUUUCAGAUUCAAGCUCCACACGCGCUUUGAAUAUUUUGAAGACUGCAAACACGUCUGCCUUCCUCUUGAUUGGAUACACCCAACAUCUCCUGGAGUAAUCAUCAAUAAAAGAUACAAAGUAUCUUGCACCUCCUAGGGANNNNNNNNNNNNNNNNNNNNNNNNNNNNNNNNNNNNNNNNNNNNNNNNNNNNNNNNNNNNNNNNNNNNNNNNNNNNNNNNNNNNNNNNNNNNNNNNNNNNNNNNNNNNNNNNNNNNNNNNNNNNNNNNNNNNNNNNNNNNNNNNNNNNNNNNNNNNNNNNNNNNNNNNNNNNNNNNNNNNNNNNNNNNNNNNNNNNNNNNNNNNNNNNNNNNNNNNNNNNNNNNNNUGAUGCCACAUCAUCAUUAAUUCUUCUGCUGAACCUGUCGAUGCGACAGAUGCUUCUCCUUCUUGUAGUGUUUCUCCUUUAAGCAUGUACAAAUUUGCAGCUAUCUUUUCCGCUUUCAUCACCACAAGCGCGCCUUUGAUUAUUUUCAUAAUCCCAUCUUGUAUAUGGGUUUUGCAGCUAAUGCUAUCUAAUUGUCCUAAAGACAAUAGAUUUUUCUUCAAGCCUUUUACGUGCCGUACCUACUGGAUAGUGCGAAUUGUACCAUCAUACAUUUUCAAUUUGAUGGUACCAAUACCAGCGAUCUCCAAGGCAUGAUCAUUUCUCAUAAACACGGAUCCUCCUGGAAUAGUCUCAUAUUGAUGGAACCAUUCCCUCAUUGGUGUCAUGUGCCAUGUAGCUCCUGAAUCCAUAAGCCAAACAUCAGAAAAUUUCUUUCUGCCUUCAACAACUGUUGUUGCCUCGCUGUAUAAAAUUUCACCAUCAUCUGAGGUGCUGGCUACACAUCCCUGAACUUUUGACGUCUCAGGACCUUUUCCUUUGGCUUCUUCAUUCUUCUUGAGACUCCAACAAUCCCUUUUUAAAUGCCCUUUCUUGCCACAGUAAUGACACUUGACAUUUUUCUUACUCCUGGAUUUUGAUCUACUCUGAUUAUGACUCCCACUAGAGCCACGUUCCGUUGAUCUCCCUCUCAUCAUCGUUAAAGCUUCUGCCUGAUGCAAACUUGUCGAUCUAUCCUCCUUGUUUUUUCGUCGACUUUCUUCUUCAAGAACAGCAGCUGCAACAUCAUCGAAGACCAGAGUUUCAAUGUUGUUGGUUAAGUUGAUGAUGAGUUGAUCGUAGGAAUCUGGCAGACUUUGAAGUAAGAUUUCAGCACGUUCACCCACCUCUAUAUUAUGCUCCAUUGAUGUGAGCUGUGAAAAUAAAGUGUUGAGGGUGUUGAUGUGGUUGGUCACCGUAGUUGACUCCAUCAUCCGAAGGGUGUAAAGAUUCCUCUUCAAGAAGAUUUUGUUGUGUAACGAUUUGGUCUCGUACAACUUUGUCAGCAUAUCCCAUAUUUCUUUCCCCGUCUUUUUCUCUACCACACUUGACAAUACUCCAUCAGCUAGUGCAAGGUGCAGAUUAGCAACUGCGUUGCUAUCCAUCUCGUUCCACUUAGCAUCGUCAGUGAUCUCCACGGGCCUCUGUCCAAUUGUCGCCAAGCAGUUAUCUUUUCUCAAAAUUGCUUUUAUUCUCAUUUUCCAUAAUGAGAAAUUGUUCCCAUUGAACUUUUCAACCUCAUACUUUGUUGCCAUUUUUUUUUUCACCAAUACUAUGAUUUAACAACGACCCUACACAGAACUUUGCUCUGAUACCACUGUUAGGGAGAAAACGCGUGGGUCGACUUUGGCUAACAAGUAAUGAAAUUGAGAAAACACAGCUAAAAUGGACACAAGUAUUUACGUGGUUCACCCAAUUUUGGCUACGUCCACGGGCAAGUAUAGGAGGAUUUUACUGUAAUAGGAGAAUUACAACAACUCUCUAAAUACAAGGAGAUAACAACAAUUAAUCUCUCUUGUAAUAGAAAAACCAAGUAGGAAAUACUUUAGGAAGAAACAAUAAUUUUUCUCUCUAUUUUUAUCUCUCUACUCACAAUUUUCUCUCCACUUAAUCUUUUCUUUUCUCUCUAUUUUUUCCUCUCUUUUCUGGCUUAUUUCACUUGGCAUGGUGGUUCUCUAUUUAUAGAGAAAAUUUGGCUGCAACCGUCUCAAACUGUUUGGCCCAAAAACUCCCAACAAGGUGGUGAUGCAAGAGGAUGGUAGGUUGCAUGUUGGAG
rnacentral:lncRNA from 1 species